rnacentral:rRNA from 1 species
UAAACUACGAUUAGAUACCCUAUUAUUUUAAAUGUAAAUUUAAAUACUUGAGUAGUAUUAGAUAUGUUCUUGAAACUCAAAGAAUUUGGCGGUGUUUUAGUCCUUUCAGAGGAACCUGCCCCGUAAUCGAUAGUCCACGUUUUAUCUUACUUAGUUUAGUUAUCAGCUUGUAUACCGCCGUCGUCAGAAUGUCCUUAGAGGGAUUAAAUUUUCUUGGUUUUUUAUGAGAAUUUAUGUCAGGUCAAGGUGCAGCUUAUGAUUAAGUGGAGGUGGGUUACAAUAGAUUUAUUUAUUACGAAUAAUUAUUGGAAGACUUAAUUUGAAGGUGGAUUUGAUUGUAAUUUAUUUAAUAAAGUUUAAGUGAUUUUGGCUCUAAAACAUGCACACAUCGCCCGUCGCUCUUA